rnacentral:rRNA from 1 species
CUACAAAUGAAUUGACGGGGACCCGCACAAGCAGCGGAGCGUGUGGUUUAAUUCGUUGCUACACGAAGAACCUUACCUGGGUUUGACAUAUAGGUUGUAGGGAACUGAAAGGGACCGACCCUUCGGGGAGCCUAUACAGGUGUUGCAUGGCUGUCGUCAGCUCGUGUCGUGAGAUGUUCGGUUAAGUCCGCUAACGAGCGCAACCCUCGUCGUAUGUUAUAUGUGUCAUACGAGACUGCCGGUAAAAAGCCGGAGGAAGGUGAGGAUGAUGUCAAGUCAGCAUGACCUUUAUAUCCAGGGCUACACACACGCUACAAUGGUCUGUACAAUGGGUAGCCAAGCCGCGAGGCGGAGCCAAUCCUGAAAGCAGGCCUCAGUUCAGAUUGCAGUCUGCAACUCGACUGCAUGAAGCCGGAGUUGCUAGUAAUCGCGAAUCAGCAUGUCGCGGUGAAUACGUUCCCGGGCCUU